AUGUCAUGAAUCGCUCAAAACAAAUCUUUUUAAUUGAUUCGCUCACUAUUCGAACGGAGUUUUCAAGAGGUGAAGCUCAUCAGUGAUUAUAACGACGUUACGUGCGGUUUGUUCGUCACCUAAACUUAUCAUAUGACUAAAUAACUAUGUGAAUAUAGCGGACGAGUCGUGUCAGAUCACUUUUAUGUUAUAUUGUUUUAUAUGGUUAUUUUAUAGCGUGCAUAGCCGUCUUCAUUCGCUUUCACUAGCUUACAAUUGUCAAGUGACCACAUGCUCCAAAAAUGUCUUCCACGGAAAGUAACCAUACGGAUUUCCUAAUGAAGAGAGUACUACAUUUGAGGUAGAAAGCUGAUAACAGAUACUCAUGGGAUUUUAAGCACCUGUCGUUGAUCACCAGUUCAAAGAAUUUUGCAAUGGUCACUGCAUUAUAAAGGGGGCUAUGAUCUGGGGAAAAAGCACAUAACACCUGAUACAAGCAAGAUAUGGCGGUCUUUAAAGAUCUUCGGCUGGUGUUUCUGGCUGUGCUGAUGUUGGUGUCUCAGCUGGACUCUGCCAGCGCUGCCGUUCGGCUGUUUGACUUACAUGCCAAAGAUCUUGCCGGUGACGCUCUUCUAAACAAACCCGAUCCAUACGUCAAGGUCUGGUGUGGCUCUACUUUUGGGGGGCAGACAGAAUAUAUCAAUGAUAACAGAAAUCCUACAUGGUCUGCAGAGUUCAACUUCCCAAACUGCAAAAGUGGUGACAACCUGAAGAUGGAGGUGUGGGACAAAGACUUGAAUUUUGAUGAUCUCUUGGGCACAUGUGGCAGAGGGGUGCAAUAUGGGUCUUUCACCAUUACUUGUUAUCUGGAAAAGGGGACUAUGUUUUACAGUUAUGAAGCAAAAUAAACUUGUUCUAAAUCAGCAGUUUGUAAAGCUACUUUGAGACUGAUAACAAUAUAGUUUAAUCUAUUUACUAAAAACUAACAUUCACUUACCAUAUUAUUAAAGACAUAGCCUAUAUCAAAUAAAAUUAGAUUCGAUUCAGGGUGAAUUGACAAGCAGAAGCAAUAAUACUUUAGACUUCAGUAGGGAUAAGUUGAUUUCAGAAUCACCUCUCUUUCUCAAAUGUUUGUCACAUCAACUUCUCUUUCUGCUCAAUGAUUUAUUUUCCACUGGCAGCAAGUGAUAAAUUACCCCAGUGCAAAUCACACAUUUUAUGCACACUUACAAGAAUACAUAUUUUUUGGAGGCUAAGUUAUACAUUGAGAGCUUGGCAGUUCCAGGUAUCAUUAAAAUUUCCGUAUUCCACAGAGAAAACAAAAAUCAUCCAUGGAAUAAAAGACUUUUAUUGUAAA